UACGGAGGGUGCAAGCGUUAAUCGGAAUUACUGGGCGUAAAGCGCGCGUAGGUGGUUUGAUAAGCGGGAUGUGAAAGCCCCGGGCUUAACCUGGGAACGGCAUUCCGAACUGGAAGGCUAGAGUAUGGUAGAGGGUAGUGGAAUUUCCUGUGUAGCGGUGAAAUGCGUAGACAUAGGAAGGAACACCAGUGGCGAAGGCGGCUACCUGGGCCAAUACUGACACUGAGGUGCGAAAGCGUGGGGAGCAAACAGG
rnacentral:misc_RNA from 1 species